AAAGACCCCGUGAACCUUUACUAUAGCUUGACACUGAACAUUGAGCCUUGAUGUGUAGGAUAGGUGGGAGGCUUUGAAGUGUGGACGCCAGUCUGCAUGGAGCCGACCUUGAAAUACCACCCUUUAAUGUUUGAUGUUCUAACGUUGGCCCGUAAUCCGGGUUGCGGACAGUGUCUGGUGGGUAGUUUGACUGGGGCGGUCUCCUCCUAAAGAGUAACGGAGGAGCACGAAGGUUGGCUAAUCCUGGUCGGACAUCAGGAGGUUAGUGCAAUGGCAUAAGCCAGCUUGACUGCGAGCGUGACGGCGCGAGCAGGUGCGAAAGCAGGUCAUAGUGAUCCGGUGGUUCUGAAUGGAAGGGCCAUCGCUCAACGGAUAAAAGGUACUCCGGGGAUAACAGGCUGAUACCGCCCAAGAGUUCAUAUCGACGGCGGUGUUUGGCACCUCGAUGUCGGCUCAUCACAUCCUGGGGCUGAAGUAGGUCCCAAGGGUAUGGCUGUUCGCCAUUUAAAGUGGUACGCGAGCUGGGUUUAGAACGUCGUGAGACAGUUCGGUCCCUAUCUGCCGUGGGCGCUGGAGAACUGAGGGGGGCUGCUCCUAGUACGAGAGGACCGGAGUGGACGCAUCACUGGUGUUCGGGUUGUCAUGCCAAUGGCACUGCCCGGUAGCUAAAUGCGGAAGAGAUAAGUGCUGAAAGCAUCUAAGCACGAAACUUGCCCCGAGAUGAGUUCUCCCUGACUCCUUGAGAGUCCUGAAGGAACGUUGAAGACGACGACGUUGAUAGGCCGGGUGUGUAAGCGCAGCGAUGCGUUGAGCUAACCGGUACUAAUGAACCGUGAGGCUUAACCUU
rnacentral:rRNA from 1 species